rnacentral:pre_miRNA from 1 species
UUUACAAUUCGGUCGUUCACCAGGUCAUCUAGCUACACGUUAACAAAGCUAGCUGCCUAGUGAAGGGCAACAUUGUACU